AUUGAACGCUGGCGGCAGGCUUAACACAUGCAAGUCGAGCGAGCGGCGGACGGGUGAGUAAUGUCUGGGAAACUGCCUGAUGGAGGGGGAUAACUACUUGAAACGGUAGCUAAUACCGCAUACCAUCAGAUGUGCCCAGAUGGGAUUAUCUAGUAGGUGGGGUAAUGGCUCACCUGGGCGACGAUCCCUAGCUGGUCUGAGAGGAUGACAAGCCACACGGGAACUGAGAAACGGUCCAGACUCCUACGGGAGGAAGCAGUGGGGAAUAUUGCAAAAGGGGCGCAAGCCUGAUGCAGCCAUGCCGCGUGUGGGAAGAAGGCCUUAGGGUUGUAAAGUACUUUCAGCGGGGAGGCGUUACCCGCAGAAGAAGCACCGGCUAACUCCGUGCCAGCAGCCGCGGUAAUAC
rnacentral:rRNA from 1 species